rnacentral:rRNA from 1 species
GAUGAACGCUGGCGGCGUGCCUAAUACAUGCAAGUCGAGCGAACAGACGAGGAGCUUGCUCCUCUGACGUUAGCGGCGGACGGGUGAGUAACACGUGGAUAACCUACCUAUAAGACUGGGAUAACUUCGGGAAACCGGAGCUAAUACCGGAUAAUAUAUUGAACCGCAUGGUUCAAUAGUGAAAGACGGUUUUGCUGUCACUUAUAGAUGGAUCCGCGCCGCAUUAGCUAGUUGGUAAGGUAACGGCUUACCAAGGCAACGAUGCGUAGCCGACCUGAGAGGGUGAUCAGCCCCACUGGAACUGAGACACGGUCCAGACUCCUACGGGAGGCAGCAGUAGGGAAUCUUCCGCAAUGGGCGAAAGCCUGACGGAGCAACGCCGCGUGAGUGAUGAAGGUCUUCGGAUCGUAAGACUCUGUUAUUAGGGAAGAACAAAUGUGUAAGUAACUAUGCACGUCUUGACGGUACCUAAUCAGAAAGCCACGGCUAACUACGUG